UACGUAGGGGGCAAGCGUUGUCCGGAAUCAUUGGGCGUAAAGCGCGCGUAGGUGGCCUCAUAAGUCCGUUGUGAAAGUCAAAGGCUCAACCUUUGAAAGCCGAUGGAUACUGUGAGACUAGAGUACGGAAGAGGCGAGUGGAAUUCCUGGUGUAGCGGUGGAAUGCGCAGAUAUCAGGAGGAACACCAAUAGCGAAGGCAGCUCGCUGGGACGUUACUGACACUGAGGCGCGAAAGCGUGGGGAGCGAACAGG
rnacentral:rRNA from 1 species